AGCUUUGCGCAGUGGCGAUACCAUAGCCAAUGAAGAAUCUCCGAGGCAGGCGUGGUUAUUGCUAGUUGAAAACUAUAUAAAUACUCCGCGCUUAAGACCUAAUGGUCGACAUGCGCAAUUUUUUCCGGCUUCUACGGGAG